rnacentral:lncRNA from 1 species
GAUCCAGUGAGGAAGCAUACCCAAAUUGAUAGGAAGUGCCGUAUGACACUUUAAACAGCGGCGGCUACAUGGAACGAGCCACCCCUUGUGCCCAUCCACCGGUGAGUAUUAGUUACUCAUCGGUCGGGAACAGAGGUGGCUCCGGUGUGCCGCCGUGUGUGUGAUUUGGAACGGGACUCUGAGGGUCAUCUUCUUAACUUGUUUAGUGUUUUCUGCUUUGAAUCUGUGUUUGAUUUUUCGAGUGAAAUUGUAUAUACGGUUCGAUGCCACGUCGACGGUAGCCAAAGUGCCUUGACCGACGAUGCUAUGAUUGAACCGAGAUCGAAAUCUUUCGCUUUCUGAUAGGAACCUGUGGAUCCUAUUUACAAUCUGGUCCACGGAGCCGAUUUACUGCGAUUACAUCUAUUGCCGAUUUAGAAUCUGUGUUUGUUUGUUGUUUUUGAUAUCUGGGUGUUUUUGUGAUUGAAGCCUAUGAUGAUUGUAUUUUUAGUUGGAAUUACCGACUGAUGUCUUUGAUGAUAAAUUACUGGCUUUCUGAGGCUUUAGAAUCUAUAUUUCAUCUUUGACUUUCGUUUUACUAGUAUCUAGUGUUUUCUAGUUAUAUGCAAUUAGUACAAGCAAAUCUGUAGAUUAUCGUGUUCUGUGGCUGGUCGGGUAUCCGAGUUUAUAAACCUGAUGUAUAAAAGCAGGGUCCUGUUGCCUUGUAUGUGAAUUGGUCUCUCGUAAACGUCAGGGAAAUGAAAUAAAUUGCAACAUUAUUGGGUGAACCUCUGUUUGUUCUUUGUGAAUGGUGGCUCAAGGUUCAGUAAAUGAUGCAACAUUUUCAAUUACAUUUUGAUUCUAAUAUUGGAUGGAGCCGGAAUCAAGUUAAGAAUCCACAACAUAUAUUUAUGUGAUCUUUGCUCUAGUUAUGAAAUGAGGAUCUUCCAAUGAAUCACUAUAGGAUUGAAGAUUAAUGUGUGUGUGUGUGGUGCAAAUGUAACCGUUUUGAACCUAAUCCAAUGGUGUCUGUACUGAAAAUCAUUUGUAGAUGUUCUGAAGUUGAUGGAUUAUCAUUACAUUGGAAACAAGAUUUUAAUCGGAAAGCGAAAUUUUGAUCAGAACG